rnacentral:miRNA from 1 species
AAUACAGGAUGCCCAGUUAAACUUCAAUUUCAGAUAAACAAAUUUUUUUUUUUAAGUAAGUCCUAUGCGAUAUUUAGGACAUACUAAUGCUAAAAAUCUAUUCAUCAUUUAUGUGAAAUUCAAAUUUACCUGGGAGUCCUGAAUUUU